rnacentral:lncRNA from 1 species
UUUUCGUAAAUGGUGUGAAUGAAAAUAUAAAAUAAAAAUAUAAAAUGGCAAGGUUUAAGCACUUAGUCAUCUCUUAAAUCUUAAUUUAAAUGUUUCAAUUUCUUUUAUAAACUCAACCAAUCUCAAAGGUAAUAUGUGAUAUUGGUGAAAGAUUUUUUAGUGAAAAUAUUAUUUUAGUAUAUAAAGAGGUGUUUAUGAAAUCAAUACUGAUUUCUUUUGAUAUGGUUUUAAACACUUGGAAUGCAAUUGAUCUAGUAUUGCUUUGUAUCAAGUAAAUUAAACAAUUAAUCAAAGACGUGUACAAUUCUAAGUUUCGAUCUUUAAAACUACCAUUAUGGUUUUUUGAUAUGAUUUCAAACACUUGAAAUGCAAUUGAUCUAAGUAUUAAUUGUACCAAAUAAAAUUGAUAACAAUUAAUUAAAAAUGUGUACAAUUUUAAAUUUUGAUAUUUACAAAACAAUCUAUAAUAUAAACGACUAGUAAUUUCCAGUGCCUACAGGCACAACGUAAAAAUAAAAAAAUAAUAAAAAAUCAUCUCUUAGGCGUACUCGUUAGAAUUUAAUAAUUUAAGAACCAGAUAAGAUAUAAAUAUCAGAUAAAAGAUACAUUGUAUGCAUAUAUGAAGAGAUAUAUUACUUAGAAACUAUAAUAAUUUUAAAAAGUUUUGCUAGUUUGAGAGAAAUGAGAGAAAAAAAAAAAAUAUUUUAAUAUUUUUUGUGUGGCCCCAUUAAAAAAUGAUUCAAAGAGUAAAAAAUAUGCCCAAAUUUAGAGAUUUUUUGUCUUUUAGAUAAGAACCUAUAUGAGUCUCACACAUUUGAGAAUAAUGAAAUGAUAAUUUUGGGAGAAAAAAAUAAUUUCAGAUAAAUUCAACCGUUAUAUUAAGUUAAAUAGAUUUCAAUCGUAAAUAGUAAAAAAUAAAUUUAAUUCAAAAUAUAAUAUAAAUUUAUAUUAUUAAAAUAAGUACCAAAAUACAUAGAUUCAUACACUUCAAAUAUUUUGGACUGCCGCGAAGUUUCGUCCUUUAUAAGCCUUAUAACCACAUCCACACAUCUUGCCUGCCCACUUGGUGAUGGUGUUCUGACUUAUGUCGGCACGACUCAUCCCAUAUUAUUUCACAUUUUUGUAAAGUAAUAUCAGAUCAAACAGUGUACGUAAAAAAGUUAUAUUUGUUGGAAAAAUUAUAGUUUUUGAGUCACUUUAGAUUUAUAUUUAAAGUGGAUCUCAUAAUUAUUUUUUGUGGGUUAAUUAUUGAACAUAAUUUUUGAACCUUAGUGAAGAGAUUUAUGAAAAAAAUCAAGCCAAAAACAUUACAAGAAGUGAAUUAAAAUUAGCUUCAAAAAUAAUUAGCUGAAGUUGUUGAAAGAAGGAAUUGGAACAUAGUCCCACAUUGGUUGGGAAGGAGAAAGUUAAGUGGUUUAGAAGCCUUGAGUUUGAAAACCUAAGAUGUGCCCUUGGUACUUGCCAUUUUUUGGUGUAUAUUUUAUCUAUCUUAAUUUAGUUCCCAAUUAUAGGAACUAGCAUAAUACUCGGCAGUCCAAGAUUGUAUCCACAUAGAGCUGAUUUGCAAGAUUGAGUUAUUAUAAGUAAAGAAAGUGUAAAAGAUUAUUUUGUGUUGUUUUCGUAAAUGGUGUGAAUGAAAAUAUAAAAUAAAAAUAUAAAAUGGCAAGGUUUAAGCACUUAGUCAUCUCUUAAAUCUUAAUUUAAAUGUUUCAAUUUCUUUUUCUUUUAUAAACUCAACCAAUCCUCAAGGUAAAUAUGAUAUUGGUUGAAAGAUUUUUCAGUGAAAAUAUUAUUUUAUAUCUAAAGAUGUGUUUAUGAAAUCAAUACUGAUUUUCUUUUGAUAUGGUUUUAAACACUUGGAAUGCAAUUGAUCUAAGUAUUGAUUGUAUCAAGUGAAAUUUAUAACAAUUAAUCAAAGACGUGUACAAUUCUAAGUUUCGAUCUUUAAAACUACCAUUAUAGUUUUUUGAUAUGAUUUCAAACACUUGAAAUGCAAUUGAUCUAAGUAUUAAUUGUACCAAAUAAAAUUGAUAACAAUUAAUUAAAAAUGUGUACAAUUUUAAAUUUUGAUCUUUAAAACAACUAUUAUGGUUUCAUAAAUAAAUAUAUAAAUUUUUUUUGAAAGAGAGACGAAAUUAGUUCAUCAAAGUGUCGAAAGAAAACGUCAUUCUUGAACCGAGCCAAAAGAUUUAGCCUUCCAUAGGUAUGAAAGACUUAAUCUUUAGUGCAAAUUAAGCAAAUAAAUAUAAAAGAACUU